CCUAGCCCCUCUUUCAAACAAAACUGAAUUUUUCGCACCCUGAAAUCUCUCAGCCUCUUGCGAUUUCGCCACGGAUGAGCUUCGAGCUCAAAAUGAAAAAAAAAAAAUGCUAUUCAAUCUCUCUCGUCUCUCGUCACUCUCGGUCUCAACUCAAUCAAAUACCAGAAACGAGCAAGAAGAACAACAUAUAAAUCCCUUAAACCCUCACAAACCCUAGACUAUCAAAAAUCAAAUAAAAUGGUGUACAAGCACGCAAUCAAGCAAUUGUUUGAGGGUUACAACUCAACAACACAAAUAGAAUACAAUGGCAUCAGAAAACGCGGAAAAGAAGGUGAAGAAAGACCGACCUCGUCGGAGCUACGUCCGACGGUUUUUCGACGUAGUACGAAGCUUCUGACAUCGUUGUUGUUUGAGUUGAGCUGAAAAGAAGCCGUUGAAGUUGACGAGUUGUUGCGAAGCUACAUAUCAGGAUAACUAUUGCGAGUUGAGUGGUGGCUCAUGGUUUUGUUACUGUGGAUGCAAGUGAGCAGGAUUUGUGCGACAGUGAAGGUAUUGUCGUGCUUGAAGCUAUACAAGUAUGAGUCAAGAAACGAUGGAGAUCUAUCGAGCUUGAACUUCAAUGAAGAUUUCCGAGUUUUUGUUUUGGCCAAUUCAGGUAACUUCUCAGCAGCAACAACUUAGGGCUUUUAAAGUUUAGGCUUAGGGACAUUCUAUGUAACAGCUUGUACACUUAUUUGUAACCAUUUCAAAUGACUAAGAACUUUAGCAAAACGUCUUGUAAUUUCUUGUAAUUUUUCAAAUGAAAUUUUAAAUGAAACUUCUACCUUUUUGUAAGAAGUAAUUGCAAUUGAAUGCAAAUUGUUCUUGAAGUGUUCAAAUGGAAUCAAAAUGAGAUCUUUCUUUUUCCUUAUAAGAUGCUAAGCUAUUGGAAAUUGGAUGGAAUGGAACCUCAUGAUUUUGAAUGAAUUUGGCCUCAUGUUUAUAUUCAUGGAUUUUGUACUUAGAUGACAAGUAUUCUUUAUAACUUAAAGAAAUUAUCUUAUAACUUAACUUAUAAUAUCGUCAAAAGCGUACAAUCUUUAUUUCCCGAAUCCUUGAAUCAAACGUUCGCCGCUCUUAUACGAAAUUGCUAUUUAAUCUUGAGUUCUCAAACGCAAAAAAAAAAAACAUAAUUCACCCUACACCAAUUAUCAUGACCAAAGAUGAUUCUUGAGUUGAUAAAUUGGAUCAACAUAUUGAUGAAAUAGAAAAUCCUAAUUUCUUUCCACUAGAACUAACACUUGAAUCACGCUUAAUU